CAAUAGCGUAUAUUAAAGUUGUUGCGGUUAAAAAGCUCGUAGUUGGAUUUCUGCCGAGGACGACCGGUCCGCCCUCUGGGUGUGUAUCUGGUUUGGCCUGGGCAUCUUCUUGGAGAACGUAGCUGCACUUGACUGUGUGGUGCGGUGUCCAGGACUUUUACUUUGAGGAAAUUAGAGUGUUUCAAGCAGGCACACGCCUUGAAUACAUUAGCAUGGAAUAAUAAGAUAGGACCUCGGUUCUAUUUUGUUGGUUUCUAGAGCUGAGGUAAUGAUUAAUAGGGAUAGUUGGGGGCAUUCGUAUUUAACUGUCAGAGGUGAAAUUCUUGGAUUGUUAAAGACGGACUACUGCGAAAGCAUUUGCCAAGGAUGUUUUCAUUGA
rnacentral:rRNA from 1 species